rfam:Gossypium hirsutum cultivar TM-1 chromosome 17, whole genome shotgun sequence
UGUUAAAAAAUUUAUCCAUUUCUACUGUUAAAAAUUGACGUGGCUGAUGAUAUAACCAGUCAGUUACACAUAGUGUAUCAUGUGUACCUCAUGCUAACGUAUAGGGAAAAAUUUAAAUAGUAGAAAUGAAUAGAAUUUUUAACU